rnacentral:rRNA from 1 species
UACAGAGGUGGCAAGCGUUGUUCGGAAUUACUGGGCGUAAAGGGCGCGUAGGCGGCCAUCUAAGUCAGACGUGAAAUCCCCCGGCUUAACCUGGGAACUGCGUCUGAUACUGGACGGCUUGAGUAUGGGAGAGGGAUGUAGAAUUCCAGGUGUAGCGGUGAAAUGCGUAGAUAUCUGGAGGAAUACCGGUGGCGAAGGCGGCAUCCUGGACCGAGAUUGACGCUGAGGCGCGAAAGCUAGGGGAGCAACGGG